rnacentral:lncRNA from 1 species
CUGUGUACAUAUCAAUAGUUUGUUUUUGGUUGCUGAGUAAUAGUCCAUGUAUGCGGGACACCUAGUCAGUGUCGACUGAGAAUUGGAGAAUCUCUUGGUGGUGUAGAAAAAAAUACGUCAUGGAGUUGUGUUCACCAGUGCUCAACUACCAUCCUUGGAAGCCCUGCCACUCAACUUAUUUCCGUUAUUCCAUAAACAUUCAAGUGCCCACCAUGAGCCAAGAACUUUUCUAUGCACUAGAGCGACAAGAGCAUUCACACUCCCCCCGCGGAGCUCACAGCCUGCAGAAGGAGCCAGCCGGGAAGCAGAAGACACGGCAUGGCGUCAUAAACCUAUGACAGAGCCUGUCCUGGUGGCACUGUGGGAAGCAUGACCCGGAUGUGGGGCAGGCAAAUGGCUCUCAGGGACGCUUCCCAAAGGAACACUCCAAAUAUCUUGCUAUUGAUCAAUUGUCACAAGAUUGGCAAAUCAUUUUUCACGUCAUUUCAAGACUCUUUUAAUAACAGUCCCAAAUGCCAAAGUGCCUUUACCAAUUCACAUUAUCAUCACCCUGGAAAGAUCGUCUCUCCCCACAGUUUUCAGGCAGCAGAGAUGUACAGACCCAGAAGUGGAGAGGUAACCUCAGUCGUUUCACAGCACGCUUGCAGACCAGAAAGCAAAGCUUCGGAAUUCUGGACGCACGUUUAAGUGAUGUUACUGCAGACCCUGACGCCAUUCACAUUGGUGAGAUAUUGAGAUUUCCACAGGUGACUUUGUGGACACACGGGGCACUCCAGCCAUGAGGACUUGGGCUGUUGUGUUCGUAUCAGCAGAAGCGGUCUGAGUUCCACCUCUGAAGGACAACAUGAAGGUUACUGACCAUCGUAUCAUGGCAUCUAGAGUUCUACCGUUCAGGAAGCCUCCGUGGACGUCAAAGACUUGUAGGCUUCCGAGAGUCCCCUCUAAAUGACGGAUGCCAUUGCCCUCCGUGAUGAGCCCUCACGUGGCUCGCUGCCUGGAAAGGAGUGGAUAGAGACCUCACGGCUGCGCUGGGCCGCAGGAGAGAGGUGGGGCAGGAGAAGGAGACGGAGCCCAAGACCAGCUUCCUGUUUCACACGCUUUCCAGGUUUGGCCUUAAGUACUGGCUGGAGGGGCAGACACCCAGCCCCACUCCACCAUGCCACGCACCUGACGGCAACACUCCAAUCACCCCUAAGGCUCAGAGAGCAGACACAGUCCCUGGGCCCUCCUGGGCCUUGGCUGCUACCAGCCUCAGAGCAGCCAGAAGCAAACCUGCCAGGCAGUCUCAGCUUGCUUUACUGAGGAGGUUCAUGCUGAACAGAAAAAGCGUCAAUAACAACUGUGUUUGAGCCCCUGUUAUAUUCCUGGCCCGACCACAGGGUCUAUGACGUCACCACUUCUGGACAUCCAAAGCCACCAUUUUAAGCAUCCGAGACUUGAUGGUGUGCCCCUGGCAUACAGCUUGG